rnacentral:rRNA from 1 species
AACAUGCAGUCGAACGGCAGCGCGAGAGAGCUUGCUCUCUUGGCGGCGAGUGGCGGACGGGUGAGUAAUAUAUCGGAACGUGCCCAGUAGCGGGGGAUAACUACUCGAAAGAGUGGCUAAUACCGCAUACGCCCUACGGGGGAAAGGGGGGGAUCGCAAGACCUCUCACUAUUGGAGCGGCCGAUAUCGGAUUAGCUAGUUGGUGGGGUAAAGGCUCACCAAGGCAACGAUCCGUAGCUGGUUUGAGAGGACGACCAGCCACACUGGGACUGAGACACGGCCCAGACUCCUACGGGAGGCAGCAGUGGGGAAUUUUGGACAAUGGGGGAAACCCUGAUCCAGCCAUCCCGCGUGUAUGAUGAAGGCCUUCGGGUUGUAAAGUACUUUUGGCAGAGAAGAAAAGGUAUCCCCUAAUACGGGAUACUGCUGACGGUAUCUGCAGAAUAAGCACCGGCUAACUACGUGCCAGCAGCCGCGGUAAUACGUAGGGUGCAAGCGUUAAUCGGAAUUACUGGGCGUAAAGCGUGUGUAGGCGGUUCGGAAAGAAAGAUGU